UGCCAAGCAAGCUGAAGGGGGCUGAGAUUAUUCCCUCUGAAGGAAAUUUUUAAAAGAAGAAAGAAAGAAACAAAAUGCCACAAUGCAGUUCUCAAUUUGUGUAUGUGGGUAUGUCCAUGAGUGUCAAGGUGAAUAUGUGGAGAUCAGAGAACAGCUUCGGGGAAUCAGUCAUCUCCUUCCAUCAUAUGGACCCUUAGUAUCAAACUCAGAACAGGCUUGGUGGGGGAGCUGCAUUUGAGAGGGUAUCUCAGGCUGGUUUAAAGCUCUCUGUGUAGACAUGAAGGACCUUCUGUGGCCAAUUCUCCUUCUACCUCCCAAGUGCUGUGAUCACAGGCCUGCAAUUUCUUUUCAUCUAUCACUUCACUAACUCCCACAGGUGGUAAUGAAAGAUAGUAAAAGAGAAAGAAAUUAAACUCACAGGAUAACGUUUUCUCAAACAUUUUCAAGUACUUUGCUUUCUGCUGACAGUUUGUAGGGUUCUGGAGAAAGAUAGAUGUCCUACAAUUAAAUCCUACUCAACUCCUGACUUUCUUGGAAAACAACUUUUCUCUCCAUAGGAUCUUUAUACUCCAUUUGCCAAAAACCUAUUUAUUCUUUAAUGGGAAAUGUUGCCAUUUGUGCAAAGAAUCUCCAGUGGCUUUCUUCCCUUCAUACACUUCAGCAAAUGUUCUGGCCAGUAUUUUGUGAUGCUGAGUUAUAAGAGUAAGCAUUCAUAUGGCACACAUUUUGUGCCCCUCAUUGUUAUAUGCACAAUAUUAACUUAAUUCCACCACUCUCCUUUCAAGCACUUUAAUUCUCACAACAAUUCUAUCUUAGUAGACAGAUACUAUUAUCAUCCCAGUCUUAACAAGGAAAAUGAGCCUAAAUAUGAGAGAAGUUAAGUUUUCAAUGGCAAGUUCACAGAUGUUAAUCAGACCAAGCAAUUUUUCCCCAUGAAUUGAGUGACACACAUGAAGGCAUGAUAUGACUGGAUAUUAUUAUUCAUUAACAUAUUAAAUAAUAGGGCCAGGACACUGGCUACAUGCCAGUUACUGUACUUAGUUUUUAAUUCAGGCAGUGACAGACCAAUGGAAAGCAGACAAGAUGAUGCUGUCAGCAGUUUCCUCUCCUUGGCAUAUAAAUUCUGAAGAGGAAGAGUAAGCUUGGUCAGUUCAUGAAAGCCCCAUGUGCACUGCCAAGUAACUAAGACUUCUCCCAAUGUGUUUAAAUAGGGGAAUGAGAAGCUGACUAUGUCUGCCCAUACAGUUCAUAGAGUGUUCCAUUCUUCUUAAACAUACAAGGUACUUAGAACCUAUUAUGAAUUUUCUUAGGACCUAAUUAAAACUGGGUUUGCAUUAAGCACCUAUAAAUUCCUAAAUGAGCAACAAGAUCCACUCCUGAGUCUUUGGAGGCUCUGUGAUGUCUAAAACACUUUAUGCUUAAAAGUAUUUAGUGAUGCAUGUAGAAUUGACUUUGUCUUCCUAAUUUGAAUCUAACUCCUCCCUACAAACAUCUGUCUUUUCUUGCAUUAGCAGAUUAAAGUGUAGGGGAAAUGUACCAACAUACUGACAUUUUCCAUUUGUAUUAGGUCAUGCAAAAAUCACACACCCCCAAGACUACAUCUCUUGAACACAAUUUAAUCAGUGCAUUUUCAAAAGCCCAGGGCAUAUCCUAUCACACAGGAAUUGGAAAACACUGUAACUACAGAACACGUUGCGUUUCUUUAAGUUCUAUAAGGAAAAUAUAAUGUGUUUGAGCAAGGAGAUAUAUAUCUGUGUACAUGUGUAUGUCUUGAAGUCAUCAGUAAAGCAUGAAAACUACUUUAUUAUACUCAACUAAUUUUUAACAACUAUAUAUACUUUUCAACUUAUAUCCUACUGAAAAAAAGAAAUGUAAAUAACUCAUGUAAGGUCGUUAGUCUUGUAGGCUAAUCAACACUGAUUUAAGGCUAAAUUCUUACAGCAGUCAAAAGAUUUUUUCUUUGGAAAAAGAAAUAUAUCAUGUUCUGCUUUCUCUCACAAUGAAAUAUAUUUUUUCUAUUCUUUCAAGCAUUGCUUUUUUUCUCAAUCCCUUUUAUUCUGAGCACUUAGACCCAACUAACUCUAUUCAUCCGUAAAGUAAUCUGAACACAUUUUAAAGGACAUUAACAAAUAUUCCCAUAAUGCAAUUAGUGCCCUUCAGCAUGAAUGAGAUUCAAUAUUCACUCUAUAGGGGCCUUGAACAUCACCUGACUUAUUGCUGACACAUCUAUCUUACAAUGGAAGGACUCUGUGGAAAUGUAUAGUUGGCCAGUACUAUUUGCAGAACAGCAUUCAUCCCAUAAAACAACGUCAUUUUAACCUUCAAAAGUGAAAAGUGUUUUUGUACAAUGAUGAAAUUGAUUGUAUUAUCCUCAUCUAUUUUUAUCAUAGAUGCUAUUCCAUCUAGAUUAAAUCAUAGAGAGUCAAAAAUCUACUGCAUAGUAGAUUGUAUCUUUCUUCCUACCACAGUAGACAUUUUCCAUUUAUUUAAAAUUUUCAUGAUUUUUCCUAUCACUUCUGUUUCUCUUCUCCAUCAUCAUAUGCCAAGGACUCAUCCAGGUGCAAGAGUCAAAAGAGUGAGCAACUGGUUUGGUACAGGUAUUAAUUAAUUAAUUAGAAAGGAUGCUCUUGAAUAAACCAAAUUGUUGUGUACCCACAGCUUAGUACCUGGCACAGAAUGGCAAACACAGUAAGUCAUUUGCAAAUUACUGCCAAAUAAAUAGAUGGAUGAGCAAAUUAACUAACUUGCCAGACAAAGCUACCUUGCAUCCAGUUUUGAAUUAUUCAAUAAUUCAAUAGUUUAAUUUUAUUCAAUCAAUCACUUUAUGAAUCCUGUACAGUAAGUCCUUUUAAAAAGUUAGUUAAGUAUUGAAUAAGGGAAAUGGGAAGAAGAGUAAGUACAAAAAAAAAUCUGUAUCUUCACAAUGCUUAACAUCUAGCAUAAUAAGAAAUAAGAUACCUUCAUACUUAUAUAACAAUACAGAAGUAAACAGUAAUUUUUCAGGGCAACUGAGAUUCAAAGUAGAUUUCUUGGAUUCCCAAAGGAAAGAGACACACAUACCAUGUAAAGUGCAGACUUUGAAACCACAAAGCUCUGAGUUUGAAUCUCAGCUCCAGCAUGAAUUUGGUGGGUAGCCAUGAUAAAUUAUUAAUCAAUUUUCAUAAUUAUUUUCUUCUAAAUAUAAAAACAAAAUAUUAUAAUAUACAUAAUACAAUAUUUUACAUAGUGGAUAUUUUUCAGAGAUUAUUCUUUAUCACGCAUGAAAGCUUAAUGUGUAUUAAAUUGGAAUAUGGAAUGUGGCUAAUCAUAAAAAGUCAAUUAUUAAACAGAAAGUAAAAUAUGAUCAUAAAAUUUAGAUUAGACACAUAAAAUACUGUUGGAGUCAGGAAAAUCCAGAAAUAAGAGUUAUCAUGUGACUUGCUAGUUCUGUGUGCUAGAUUAAGGUGUCUGAUUUAGUCAAAUCUCCAACUUUCUUCAUCUAUACAGUGGAGUUACACAGGAUAUAGUAGAUUGUGUGAGAUGAAAUGGGAAAAAGUGAUUGCCACGUUGUACAUGGAGAACUUCAAAGAACUCUUAGCUAAUAGGAUAAAAGUCAUUACUUCCCAUUUGAAAUCUAGACUCCAAACUGAUGAAAUUUUUGCCUUCUAUAGAACCACUACCAAUUUUUUUAUUUAAACUAUAUCAUAGGAUUAUUCAUAUCUUUAGGAAACUUGAAUGGAAUAAAAUAACAUAUCAGAUACGACAAAUACAAAAGUCCCAACUUCAGAUCUUUGAAAAUGUUAAGUAUCUGGGAAAAUCAAGCUACCACAGGCAUUGCCAUGAGCAAUGCUGUUCAGGGCAUUUCUGUAUCUGAAUUACUAAAAAGAUGCUAAGAUAAUGAUGUAAGCAAAAUACUGGGAAUAAUUUUUAGUAUUAAGUUUUGCCACUUCUCAACAAAGUUUUCCUUGGCCAAUUAACCAAUCAUACACAUCUGUAAAUUAAAAGUGUCAAUUCUUUUUAGUGGUGUACAUACAUGUACACACACACACGCACAUACACAUACACAUACACACACACAGACCACAUUUCUGGCUCUGUUAUCUGGGCUACCAUAUUAUUCUAUGGCUUACAACUUUUUUGCUGUAUUUGCUUUUACUUUUAUGGUAUUUAAAAGUACUGACAAUAUAUUAUGAAGCAUUUAAUUGUACAUGAUCUAUUAAAUAUCAUGCUAACAGUAAGUUCAUUUUUCAUGAUUGUACAUAAUUAAUUACUAUAUAAUGUCACUCCAGAAUAAAAACAUAGACUUUUAAAAUGGUGUAAUUUGAUAAGAUAGUAGAGGAUUUUUAAAAUUGAGAUAACUACUUGGGUUCCUCACAAGGCUAUGCAGUUACAAGAGUAUUUUGCAAAAUCAAAAAUAAUUAAAUUAUACUGUUACAUAAACAAUAAGAAGAGCUCAGAGUGAAAAGCUAUAAGGUAUAUUACUAUAAACAUGGGGUAGAAACCUUAAGCAGUCAAAGUUUUAAAACAAUUUGUCUCAGAAUUCUUAGAGAUACAUGUGGAAAGCCUUACAUUCUAUUUGUCUGAACCUCUUUCCAUUUGGCUUGUGCAAAUGUGAUACACGAUAACUGAUAGCCCUUUCUGUGUUCCUUGGUGAUUGGUAAUCAAAACAUUAAAGAUCUUUAGGCAACUGCUUUAGUGUAUUUUAUUAUCCUUUUUAUUAAUUGCCAUAUUUUCCAAGGUAUAAAGUCAUAUGGAUUUUGACACAAUUUUAGAUCAUAUAAUCAUUGAAACUAUCAUUAAAGAAGAUAACAAGUGUGUCCUUUAUACCAGCAGUUUCCUCCUAUCUGUGAUCUGUCUCCUUGUCCAAUCCUCCAUCACUAAUAAUCGCCGAGCUGACUGCUGUUUUUAGAGUUUCCUGUUUAUGGAAUGUUCUAUGAGUGGAAUUAUAUCCUAUGUACUCUAGUUUCUUUCAGGAACUCAUUUGAGAGUGAUAUGUGUUGUUUUGUGUAUCAAUAAUUCAUCUUUACAGACUGAAUUAAAGUAUUCUGUUGGGGAGAUGAACCAUCAUUUAUCCAUUAAUUACUCAGUGGACAUCUGGUGUCCUUCCAAAUUGACCAUUACUGACAAAGGUUCUAUAGACAUUUGUGGGCAUUUUUCAAUAGUCUUGAAAUGAAUGUGUAGAGAUGUUCCUGUGGGUUUCUAGUACGUAUAUGUCUAACUUUAUAAGAAGUUGUCAUCUGCCUUCCAGAGUGUCUGAACAGUUCUGCCUACCAACAGCAAUGUGUGUAAAUAGCCUUCAUAAUCUCUAUCAGCAUUUGAUGUUGGCCGUUUUUGUUCUUUUCCUUCAGUCAUUCUAAAAGUCUGUAGUUGCAUCUCAUUGUGAUUUUGAUGUAUUUUUAAUCUUAAUACAAAAGAAUAAAUAUUUGAGACAUUUA